rnacentral:rRNA from 1 species
CCUACGGGGGGCAGCAGUAGGGAAUCUUCCACAAUGGACGCAAGUCUGAUGGAGCAACGCCGCGUGAGUGAAGAAGGUUUUCGGAUCGUAAAGCUCUGUUGUUGGUGAAGAAGGAUAGAGGUAGUAACUGGCCUUUAUUUGACGGUAAUCAACCAGAAAGUCACGGCUAACUACGUGCCAGCAGCCGCGGUAAUACGUAGGUGGCAAGCGUUGUCCGGAUUUAUUGGGCGUAAAGCGAGCGCAGGCGGAAGAAUAAGUCUGAUGUGAAAGCCCUCGGCUUAACCGAGGAACUGCAUCGGAAACUGUUUUUCUUGAGUGCAGAAGAGGAGAGUGGAACUCCAUGUGUAGCGGUGGAAUGCGUAGAUAUCGGGAGGAACACCAGUGGCGAAGGCGGCCUACUGGGCACCAACUGACGCUGAGGCUCGAAAGUGUGGGUAGCAAACAGGAUUAGAUACCCUGGUAGUC